GACUGGUCCUAGCGGCUGGGGCCCAGUUCCGCCACUGACCGGAACAGACAGCCAUUUGGUCCCUGGGUGCACUCGGAUGCCCAGCAGCCCCUCACCCUCUGUGAGCCUCUCCUGGACCAAAUAGCGUGCCAUCUGCGUUGGUCCGGGACUCACGCUUCAGCUCUCACCCUGACUGGGGAGGGUCAGUGCACGCGCAGCGGUCAGGGCUUUUUCCCAGGAGCGGAACGAAGGAACCAGGAACCGGAUAGUCAAUUCCCCACCUCCAGGCCCUAGCCCAUUCAGGAAGGUUGAGGAGUUUGUCAGUGUGUCCACAGAGGACCUCGAAGGCGCCCCAGAAUGCCAGGAGCCCUUGCCGAGGACAACGGGGAAGGUGGAUAACCGAAAGGCUGGGCGCACUUCCCCCCUUACAGCCCCCACCCCGCAAACGGUACCCGGAAUCUGAGUAGAGCAUCCUCUCCUCACCCCAGUGCCCCCAAACCAUCUCCCAGUGGAUUCCUUGUUCCUGAGCCCAAAGCCACGUAAAAGCAAUUACAGUUUGGAGUCCCAGGAGGCAAGCAAAUGAUUACGAUUAUGGAAAGAAACGCCUAGAGUUCCCCAAAUGGUAGGGAAUGAGGAGAGCCGCCCUGGAGGCUGAGAAACCAGUGGGGACCGAGGGUAUCCCGAGAAGAGUAGUCCGUGGAAGCCACAAAGUGUCAGAAAAGAGAAGAGGGAAAGGAGCAAGAGCAAAUGCGCGUGCGCUGCUGCAAAGGGGGCGAGUAGGCGAUCCGUUGGCUGCCAAGCGAUGGGAGUCAAAGGAGAGGAGGAACGUGCGCCCCACGAGCAUCUGGCCGGUGGCGGGCUCUGCCUGGCACUAGGGUUCUUCUUUCCCAGCCUUUCACCUCCAGCAUCCCGCGCGUGCGGACUGCUUGGAGGCACACAGUGCGCUGGGGGCGCUCGCGGGCAUGGGAUGGGCGGGGUGCGGCAAAGACCAAAGAGCCCUGUGCCGCACACAGUGUAGGGCGUGCUGCACACCUGGCACUGGAGACUCACCAUCUGUUCAGAGCCGCCUCCUUGGCCCAGGGGUGUGGCCAGGAAAGAUAAGAGUACCCGUGGCAGCGAUGACUCUACACCAACUGCCACUUCAACUGCCAAUCAACAAGUAAAAAUAUACCUGGAGAUGUGUGUAUACAGUCAUGUCCUACAAAGACAAGAGAAGACCAGCACAACAGGACUCAGUGUUUUGGGAAAAGCAGAACACCACACAUUCCUGGGUGGAAGCGAACCUACAUGCUUAACAUUUCAAAAGACACGUACAGAAGCUCUCAUCUAUACUGUCAUCCAUCUGGUUCCUACAAACACUGUCCUGCACCAUGACUGGAAGAAGAAGCAUUUGGAGGUUUCCCCAAGAAACUAGUUGGUGCUAGGAACAUUAAAUCUUCAUGUCCCCAGGACAAGAAAGUUAAAAGUACUCAUCGUUAGCUACCGAGGUUGACGGGAGGCAAGGCUGUGGAUUCACGUGACCAAAGAUGGCUGGUCUGGCUGGCUGUACUGCUUUCUCCUUUUAUCAAGUACAGAUGUAGCGCCUGCCUGGAAUGGUAGGACCAGUGCCUAAACUCAAGGAAACAACCAGAGACUGGCUCCCAGGGGCACCUGUUCCCACUUAUUGUUGCUGUUGUUGCACACAUAUGUGAUGUUUGUACAUGUAUGUUCUUGUGUUUGUAGGUACACAUUGUAUGCUGGUGUAUGUGGUCACUGAAGAAAUUAAAACAGAAAGAC
rnacentral:lncRNA from 1 species